UAACCUGCCCAAGAGAUCGGGAUAGCACCUGGAAACAGAUGCUAAUACCGGAUAACAACAGAUGAUGCCUAUCAACUGUUUAAAAGAUGGUUCUGCUAUCACUCUUGGAUGGACCUGCGGUGCAUUAGCUAGUUGGUAGGGUAACGGCCUACCAAGGCGAUGAUGCAUAGCCGAGUUGAGAGACUGAUCGGCCACAUUGGGACUGAGACACGGCCCAAACUCCUACGGGAGGCAGCAGUU
rnacentral:rRNA from 1 species